UACAGAGGGGGCAAGCGUUGUUCGGAAUUACUGGGCGUAAAGGGCUCGUAGGCGGCCAACUAAGUCGGAUGUGAAAUCCCCAGGCUUAACCUGGGAACUGCAUCCGAUACUGGAUGGCUUGAAUCCGGGAGAGGGAUGCAGAAUUCCAGGUGUAGCGGUGAAAUGCGUAGAUAUCUGGAGGAAUACCGGUGGCGAAGGCGGCAUCCUGGACCAGCAUUGACGCUGAUGAGCGAAAGCUAGGGGAGCAAACAGG
rnacentral:rRNA from 1 species